UAUCAAAUUUUCUACACCAAUUCAAUUCAAUUAAAUCGUUGAGUAUUUUCUACCUGACAGCAAUUUAAAUUUCCACAAAUGUGUAAAUUUUCAUUUGAUUUCCUUACUUCUCACGUUUCUUCUUUGUUUCACUGUCACUUUCAGUCGAUGAAAACAUAAGCAAUACAAGUAAUUGAUUCAAUUAUCAUGCUAUUGUAAUGGAUUCCUAUCCAAGCUCACAUUAGGACUCAGCUGGACUCAGUCCAUGUAGUUUAGACAAACUCAUCAGAAAUCCAAAGCACAAUCAAAUCAAUGCCUAAACCGAACCCAAACUCAAAUGGAAAUGGAAAUGGAAGUAAAAUAAACGAGCUGCUGCCUCUCGUACUCCUUCCUCGUACUCCCAUUCGGUGCUGUGGCCUGGACAAAGUCAGACAUGUGACCAAUUAGCGCCAAAAUGCUGAGGGACAAUUUGUGGCUGAGGCAGGUGCUGGGUCAGAAAUGAAACGGGAGGCAGCCUAAUUAAAAACAUAUGUGACGCACAUGAGAAAGUGGCAACAUACGACCGGAGGAGGGAGAGUCGCCCAAGCCAAGUUGAAUGACUUUUAUGGCAUUGGCAUCGCACAGAUUGUCAUGGAUAUUUUUGUGGAGCUUCACAGAAAACAAACAGAAUAUUGUUUAAAUUGUAAACAGUAUAAAAAUAUAAUAAAAGUAAUAAUAAAAAUAAGCUGCUGCAGCAGCUGGGGCAGCUCUGGUCCUCUCGCUUAGCCAUUGUGGGCGUGGCAAAUCAACAGCCCAAGUGUAUUCGCCCUCAGGCCUUUAUA